CCUGACAGUAAUAGCGCGGUGGUACCACCUGAUACCCAUGCCGAACUCAGAAGUGAAAUGCCGUAGUGCCGAUGGUAGUGUGGGGGUUUCCCCAUGCGAGAGUAGGGAGCUGUCAGGU
rfam:Arsenophonus symbiont of Lipoptena fortisetosa strain CB, complete genome.